rnacentral:lncRNA from 10 species
CACGAGGUCAGGAGAUUGGGACCAACCUGGCAAACAGGGUGAAACCCUGUCUCUACUAAAAAUACAAAAUACAAAAAAAAUCAGCCUGGCAUGGUGGCGGGCGCCUGUGGUCCCAGCUACUCUGGAGGCUGACGCAGGAGAAUGCCGUGAACCCGGGAGGCGGAGCUUGCAGAGAGCCGGAGAUCACGCCACUGCACUCCAGCCUGGGCUACAGAGCAAGACUCCGUCUCAAAAAAAACCAAAACAAAACAAAACAAAAAAAACACCCAGUUUUUCCAUGGAGUGAUAGAAUUUAAUUGAUGAGCUUGACGAGCUUAAUUACAGAAGGGAGAGCUCCAAAAUACAUAUUAAGGUCAUUCCUCGCUCAUUGGGAACACUGAGUCAAAGAAAAUAAGUUUGCAAGAAGACAAGGAAUGACCUGUAGGCAUACUAAGCCUGCAUUUGAGACUGACAAGGAGUGAGAGAUACUGUUUUGAGUGUGUGUGAAAAUGAAGAGAAUGAAUCAUCUUUUACUGAUUAUAAUCUAUAACUUGAGUUUGCAAGUCAAAGAACUUCUGAAACAGGGUUUCAGUUACUGCUCCUAGCAGGAUUCUCCAUUGCUACUCAUCAUAUUUUGUUAAGACAAACAGGGCUAUCAUGAAGCAGCAGACACCCCUGUCAUAUCAUGCGUGGAGGAGGAUCCAGCAUUUGUGAAAAUCACAGAAGAUCAUAUGAGAAGGCACCAUUUUAAUGAAAGAACAAGAAACCUGAAAUUCAAUAACAAAGCCUGAAGGCUAGAAAAGGUUAUGAAAUAGCCCAUGAUAAGCACAGGUGGAAAAUUGACACAAAGAGUUUUCUGCUAUGCCAAAUAAAUUUUGUUGUCUUUGUGUGUGUGUAUGCUGCGUAUCUUAAAACCAUAACAUUUUCACUGACAUUGAAUCAUCCUCCUCAGUAACUGAGGGAAACUUCCUUGGGAACCCACCUUAAAUUUUACCAUCUUUGGCAGCUUUUGAAAUGACUCUAUCUUCAAAUUCUUG